GAUGAACGCUGGCGGCGUGCUUAACACGUGCAAGUCGAACGAUGAAGCCCAGCUUGCUGGGUGGAUUAGUGGCGAACGGGUGAGUAACACGUGAGUAACCUGCCCUUAACUCUGGGAUAAGCCUGGGAAACUGGGUCUAAUACCGGAUAGGAGCGUCCACCGCAUGGUGGGUGUUGGAAAGAUUUAUCGGUUUUGGAUGGACUCGCGGCCUAUCAGCUUGUUGGUGAGGUAAUGGCUCACCAAGGCGACGACGGGUAGCCGGCCUGAGAGGGUGACCGGCCACACUGGGACUGAGACACGGCCCAGACUCCUACGGGAGGCAGCAGUGGGGAAUAUUGCACAAUGGGCGCAAGCCUGAUGCAGCGACGCCGCGUGAGGGAUGACGGCCUUCGGGUUGUAAACCUCUUUCAGUAGGGAAGAAGCGAAAGUGACGGUACCUGCAGAAGAAGCACCGGCUAACUACGUG
rnacentral:rRNA from 1 species